GAUUAACGCUGGCGGUGUGCUUUAUGCAUGCAAGUCGAACGGUCUCGAUUUAUCGGGAUAGUGGCAAACGGGUGAGUAACGCGUAAGUAACCUGUCCCUAAGUAGGGGAUAGCUCUGAGAAAUCGGAGCUAAUACCGUAUGUGGUGGUGGGGGUAAUGCUUCACCACUAAAGCCUUCGGGUGCUUUGGGGAGGGGCUUGCGUCCGAUUAGCUAGUUGGUAAGGUAACGGCCUACCAAGGCUAAGAUCGGUAGCUGGUCUGAGAGGACGAUCAGCCACACUGGGACUGAGACACGGCCCAGACUCCUACGGGAGGCAGCAGCAAGGAAUAUUGUGCAAUGGGCGAAAGCCUGACACAGCGACACCGCGUGGGGGAGGAAAGCCUUCGGGUUGUAAACCCCUUUUCUCAGGGAAGAAUAAUGACGGUACCUGAGGAAUAAGUCUUGGCUAACUACGUGCCAGCAGCCGCGGUAAUACGUAGGAGGCAAGCGUUAUCCGGAUUUAUUGGGCGUAAAGAGGGCGUAGGUGGCUCUUCAAGUCGGAUGUAAAAUCUCCCGGCUUAACUGGGAGGGACCAUUCGAUACUGCUGGGCUAGAGUGCAGCAGAGGGAGGUGGAAUUCCCGGUGGAGUGGUGAAAUGCGUAGAUAUCGGGAGGAACACCAGUGGCGAAGGCGGCCUCCUGGGCUGUUACUGACGCUGAGGCCCAAAAGCGUGGGGAGCGAACAGGAUUAGAUACCCUGGUAGUCCACGCCGUAAACGAUGGACACUAGGUAUGGGGAGUAUCGACCCUUUCCGUGCCGAAGCUAACGCAUUAAGUGUCCCGCCUGGGGAGUACGGUCGCAAGACUAAAACUCAAAGGAAUUGACGGGGGUCCGCACAAGCAGCGGAGCGUGUGGUUUAAUUCGAUGCAACGCGAAGAACCUUACCAAGGUUUGACAUGUCGGAAGUAGCCGACCGAAAGGAAGGCGACCUGCUAAGUCAGGAGCCGUCACAGGUGCUGCAUGGCUGUCGUCAGCUCGUGCCGUGAGGUGUUAGGUUAAGUCCCACAACGAGCGCAACCCUUAUGCCUAGUUGCUAGCUUGUUUUACAAGUGCACUCUAGGCAGACUGCCGCAGAUAAUGCGGAGGAAGGUGGGGAUGACGUCAAAUCAUCAUGCCCCUUACGUCCCGGGCUACACACGUGCUACAAUGGCCUGUACAGAGGGUAGCGAAAGAGCGAUCUUAAGCCAAUCCCAAAAAGCAGGCCCCAGUUCGGAUUGGAGGCUGCAACUCGCCUCCAUGAAGUAGGAAUCGCUAGUAAUCGCGGAUCAGCAUGCCGCGGUGAAUACGUUCCCGGGCCUUGUACACACCGCCCGUCACACCACGAAAGUUGGCGAUACCUGAAGUUACUAGGCUAACCCCGUAAGGGGAGGCAGGUACCGAAGGUAUGGCUGGUGAUUGGGGUG
rnacentral:rRNA from 1 species